UACGGGGGGAGCAAGCGUUGUUCGGAUUUACUGGGCGUAAAGGGCGCGUAGGCGGUCAGCACAAGUCAGUUGUGAAAUCUCCGAGCUUAGCUCGGAACGGUCAACUGAUACUGUGCGACUAGAGUGCGGAAGGGGCAACUGGAAUUCUCGGUGUAGCGGUGAAAUGCGUAGAUAUCGAGAGGAACACCUGCGGCGAAGGCGGGUUGCUGGGCCGACACUGACGCUGAUGCGCGAAAGCCAGGGGAGCGAACGGG
rnacentral:rRNA from 1 species